GCUCUGGUGGUCUAGUAGAAUGAUACGCGCUUUGGGUAACGCAUGUUCUUGUGUAAUAUCGAUUGCGCGGGGUCCCGGGUUCAAAUCCCGGCCAGGGUC